rnacentral:rRNA from 1 species
GUUAUGAAAUAUUAUUCAAGUUGCUUUGUAUCUGGUUCUCUGAGAGAUUUAAUUGGUUGUAGUGUUGUUAGGUCAGUAAGCAGGGAUUAGCUUGUUUAUUGUUUAUAUGCGUGAGUAGAUGAUUUUUGUUUGUGAAGUUGAUAGUGCUUAUUUUUAAGGAGUUAUUAUAGGACAGUGGAUUUAGAUUAUUAUUUUGUGGUUGUGUAGUUAUUGGGGUAACGCAUUAAAUUUUUUCUUAGUGGAAUAAUGAUUAUAUUAGUAAUAUUUUAUUUAUUUUAGGUAGAGGCUUUAAAGCGUGUUGAGAGUGAGUGUUUUAAUUUUUAAUUAGAGUAGAUGAAUUCGGCAAAGUUAAUUUUUGACUGUUUAGCAAAGACAUUGUUUUUUGUGGGAUUAAAAAAUAAGUUCUGUCCACUGCUAUUAGGUGAAGGGCUGCAGUAUUUUGACUGUAUGAAGGUAGCAUAAUCAUUAGCUUUUUAAUUGGGGGCUGGUAUGAAGGUGAAACAGAGAUUGUCUAUAUUUAUUUUAUUGCUUGAAUUUUAUAUUUAUGUGAAAAAUCAUAGUUGAAUUAGAGGGACAAGAAGACCCUAGUAAGUUUUAUUUUUUUAUUUUAUGAUGGUAUAGGAAUUAUUUAUUUGAUUGGGGUAGGGGGGUUUAGCUGGGGCGGCUAUUUAUUUAACAUAAGUAAAUUUUUAACUUUGUUUGGC